CUGCCCUGCUCUGCUCUGCUCUAUUCUAUUCUGUUCUGUUCUGUUCUGUUCUUGAUGCUUGGAGAGAGAAAGAGUCAAGGAUGAUGGCAAGAAAUUCCCAGGAUGUGCUGGGACCUUCUGUUUUCUCUGAGGAGAGUGGAAGUCCAAGUUCAUGGAAUGCAGAAGUCAGAGUAUUAAGACCAUAUGCUUGGGGUGAAGAUGGUGAUGUGAUGAUAUCCUGCUCUGGAGUUUUGACUGGUCAAAACUAAACCAGGCCAAAAAAAGCCAACAACUUCACGCAUCUCCAGAGGAUCCUCCAUGUUUGUGCUGCAGCCACUUUGACAGGACUACAUCUGUGUCUGCCGUGAAGAGGCAGGGAGAGAUGAGAGACCUCUGUAAUCCAGCAGUAUUAGAACAACCUGCAGGGGAGGAAGACCAUGAUUAAAUUUGUUAGUCUGAGACAGACCCUUUACAUUUUGUGAGUAACCCAAUUUUGGCUGUGUCUGCUGGGGCCAGUGAAAACACUGCUCCCUGUGCUGCUGCCAUCCGGCCAGCCACCAUAAAUCAUCUGUGCUGUUUCAUCUGGCGACAGAGCGGCAGGGCAAAAUAUCAUCCGGUGCUGACCUCUAUGUCCUACAUGCUAUGGUUUCCAUCAGAGGGAGACACACUCCCUCCUGUUUCCCAGACAGACUAACACUGUGCUAUAUACAGACCUGGGCUGUAUGUAUCAGUGUGUGUGAUCAUCUUUAUGGUUUACCAACAUGACAUUUCAUGAAAACAGUGCAUUUCUUGAACAUUGUACAGGCUAUAAAGGUCAACAUCAAGUUAAACAAGAACAUAAUAGUCAGUUAUAUGCAGUCAGUUUUACCAGUAUUUUCAUUGUCAUUACACUUUUCAUGCAUUUGUUGCUUGAUGAUUUCAUACAUGAAUGACAGCAGACUAGUUUGUGGUUCUGAGCCAUCUGAGGAGAAAUUCUGAAAUUACUCUUUCAUUAUUUUUUUGCCAGAGGGAUGCUAUUUGUGUCAAAAUUCUGCAUUGAUCUCAAGAUCAUAAUAGUGUCAAAGUCUAUGGAAAACUAUCCUUUACAAAGAUUGCUGUUUCUCCAUCACUAAAUCCACUUUGAACUCAUAGAAAAAAGACUCUUCUUAUAACUUCAGAUCUUGCUUCAUAAUCAUCAAUUAUGACUUUCACCGGAAAAAAUAACUCAGUCAAUAUUUUAACAGCUACAUUCAUGCCUGUGUGUAAACUGCAAGUAUUAAGAAGCAAAAAAAAAAGUGACAUAAUAACUUAAUAUACUAAAGCUCAGAAUGUUCCAUCAACAUGGUUAUCAUAGCCCUGGAACCCAGAUAACCUCAUCUCUAUCUAUUCAUAUAUGGAUACUUGUGCUGUAUUAUACACAAAGACAAAACAAAAAAUACCGUAAAAAGUCUCCUAAAGCAUGUGUAGUUCAACUCACAUGCAAAAUGAUAGCAUUUCUGAAUAGCCUAACUGUCCUGAAAAAAACAACAUAAGGCAUGUUUGGAUGACACACAUAGUGACUCUGCUAUAAGCCAAUACAUGAAGGAAAUUAAAUAGGAGCAAAUCACCCCAGGGUUCAAAAGGUUAAUGUUUUAUAACCUACAAAUAGCAUACAAAUACCAUCAUAGCUUAUAGCUCAUAGCCUAUAGGCCAGCUGUUGUAUUUGAAUAAGCAUUAAUUUUUUAUUGUACAAUAAAGUGUUUCAGAAAAAAGUGCAUUGCAAAUGUAU